GGGGGCGAAACUGGAUUCGACCGGAUAGCCUGAAGUGUAAGUGGCGUAUCGAGGUUGGUCAGUUGGCCUCGUUAAAAGCUGACCGAAUAAUUUUAAUUGCAGAUAACAAUCUUGCAUUGGCUGCCUAAGUAAAGGUAACCCGGGCUGAAAGGUUUAGCUGGAGAGCUUUGACUGCCCGUUGAAAAUCCAGAUCGAUAACUGUCAUGCCCGACACGCAGUCAUCUAAAUUCCGUUUUGGGAUCGCGUUUGGACAAUCAUGUUGAACGGAGUGUUCAUUCGUUAAAUCAAAAGUUCAACUACAUACGUAGAAGCUUGCAUGGAAAUAUUGCGGGACGCGGGUUCAAUUCCCGCCGCCUCCACUC
rnacentral:tmRNA from 1 species